UCUUUUACAGUGACGUAACCUUCAAUCUAAGCAACUUAACAGCUUUCCACACCAUUUCAUAUUGAAAGAUGAAACAUCAAGACAUCAGUUGUACAGUUUGGGUCUACACCACAUGGACCAAAUUAGGAGUCGAUUACCUAACAUGGUCCGAAGAUAACAAAGUAGCAACAAAACACGAGCCCUCAUGGUAGUAAAAUGUCAGUGUGAUAAAUCUUAUGUUAGCAACAUUACUGUUUGAUGCUAACAGUAAAAACAAGGAUAAAAUAUAUAUUUUAGAAAGAUUGUUUUCUCACUCCUAAUUCUUCUUAAAAUUCUUCAAAUUUUAUUAGAGUUGACUAAUUUAGAAGUGUAUUUUACAUGUUUGAGUUAAUUAAUCCGGAUGUAUAUCUUUGUAUGUUUAAGAAUAUUGAAAUAACAAGAGAAACACUAUUUUCUUUGA
rnacentral:lncRNA from 1 species